rnacentral:misc_RNA from 1 species
GGAAGUAAAAGUUGUAACAAGGUUUCCGUAGGUGAACCUGCGGAAGGAUCAUUAUCGUACAAAAUGUGAGGGGCAUGCGAGGGCUGUCGCUGACCCAAAAGUCGUGCAUGCCCGAGUGUGUCCUCUUGCAUAAUAAUCCAUCUCACCCUUUGUGCAUCACCGCGUGGGCACCCUUCGGGAUCAUCUCGGAGGGGGGCUCGCGUUUUCACACAAACCCCCCUUUUAAAAGUGUAGAAUGACCACAUUUAUGCAAUCAAUACAACUUUCAACAACGGAUCUCUUGGCUCUC